UACGUAGGCAGCGAGCGUUGUUCGGAGUUACUGGGCGUAAAGAGUGCGUAGGCGGUUUUCUAAGUUUGGUGUGAAAUCUCCCGGCUUAACUGGGAGGGUGCGCCGAAGACUGGAAGGCUUGAGUAUGGGAGAGGUAAGCGGAAUUCCAGGUGUAGCGGUGAAAUGCGUAGAUAUCAGGAGGAACACCAAUGGCGAAGGCAGCUCGCUGGGACGUGACUGACGCUGAGACGCGAAAGCGUGGGGAGCAAACAGG
rnacentral:rRNA from 1 species